GCGUCUCCAACCCUGAACUCAGUCCGGGAGCCCAGGUGUGAACAGCCUCGUCAUCCCGUUAUCCUCCAUAUGUGACGUGUGGAUCAAAGUGUGCGAAGGGAAAACAUGGACGCUAAUCUGCUUACCGCUAAGGGGCAGACAAUACAGGUGAUGGAUGGGAAAACCCAACGCCAAAGGGGGAAGGGUGUAGUCUACUGAAUCCUGUUAUACAAAAAAGUACUUUCUGUACCUUGGAGCUUUGUUAUUUCAAAAUACCAAACUAUUUUUCGUUUGACGAAUGCUUUUUUUUUGCUUUUUAUCUCAGAGGAAGAGAUUUUUUUAAACCACUUUCAGCCGUCACUUAUCACCACCAGGAACCAAUAGCAUAGCCUAAUAUGGUAUACCACCUUCAGAGGAUGGAUUAUUACUUUUACUCAGUAAAAUUAAUUUUGGAUGACAAUAAAUUAAAUAUUCAGUUGAUGGAAUUGUGCAAGUUGUUCUGUACAGUACAUAUUUCACAUUCAAUAUCUUUUUUAUUGACGCAAAGCCCAACCCAGCCUUAAGUUUUCUAUUUUUGGAGUAGAGGAGAACGAGACACUGUGCUAAUGCUUGUUUUCAUGCCACAUGAGACCCCCAAGGACCCACAGACAAGCAGCGCCAUCUCUGAGAAGAGGUGACUGAGUUCAAGACAGAAAGUCAGGUGGAACGGAGUGUUUGCCGCUCGAAAAAGAGGUGUCUGACGUUACUCGGCUUAGCCCGAUUUUUACCUCAGGUUUCCUGCAACACCUCUUCCUGACUUCGUAGGACAACAGAGAACACAAGCAACUCCCGCGCACGCAGCAAAAGGUCACAUUAAGCCAAAAGGAGGAGCAGAUGAAGCCGCAACUCGAGGAAAAUUGACUGAAUUGAACACAGACCUGCCCCUGGCAUGACAGAUAAUGUCGUGCCUGUGGACUCCCAGGCACAGCCAGCUAAUGGAAUACUCAGGCCGAAAAACCGCGGGCACCCUGACAAAAUCCCGAGUUCAGGUGGGAGGCGGGAAACCCAUUGCUCAAGAACAAACAAAAGAGGAACAAGAAAAAGAGUCUACCAGGAGAACAAAGAAAUCCAGUGAGCGUCUUCCUAAAACAAACAGCAAGUAUCAGUGAUUAGGGUCAAUAUGUUUUCCAGCCCGGGGAACAUUAAUUAGAGGAAGCCUGCGAGUGAUUCCUAGGGAAUUCAUUGUGCGCUAAUGCAUUAUUAGGCCUGGAUGAAUGGGACUCUGCAGAGCCAAUUCACCCCUCCAUCUGUCCCACCCCCCCUCCCCCAACCACCAACUGUAGGGCCAUCCCAUGGCCUUUACGCAUUUUGGCAACGCAAACCGUAUUUGCUGAAAUGCACAGGAAAUUAGUGUUACUUAAUGUGGGUUGACUGGCCUCUAAUACUUGAGGGGUUUUUUUAAUGCUGGAAAUGGUUCUUCCAGGGCACAGGUUAAUGGUCUGUAAAUAUUACACACUUCUGGGAAGAUUACAGGAAGUAUAGUACAUAUUUAUUUCA